GAUGAACGCUAGCUACAGGCUUAACACAUGCAAGUCGAGGGGUAACGAGAGGAAAGCUUGCUUUCCUUGUCGACGACCGGCGCACGGGUGAGUAACGCGUAUCCAACCUGCCCCCAACUAGGGAAUAACCUUGCGAAAGUAAGACUAAUACCCUAUAAUUUCCUCAGAUGUCAUCUGACGAGGAAUAAAGAUUUAUCGGUUGUGGAUGGGGAUGCGUCUGAUUAGCUUGUUGGCGGGGUAACGGCCCACCAAGGCAACGAUCAGUAGGGGUUCUGGGAAGAAGGUCCCCCACAUUGGAACUGAGACACGGUCCAAACUCCUACGGGAGGCAGCAGUGAGGAAUAUUGGUCAAUGGGCGGAAGCCUGAACCAGCCAAGUAGCGUGCAGGAUGACGGCCCUAUGGGUUGUAAACUGCUUUUAUACAGGAAUAAAGUUAGCCACGUGUGGUUAUUUGUAGGUACUGUAUGAAUAAGGACCAGCUAAUUCCGUGCCAGCAGCCGCGGUAA
rnacentral:rRNA from 1 species